rfam:Acanthamoeba castellanii str. Neff unplaced genomic scaffold scf7180000084592, whole genome shotgun sequence.
GGACCUCCCGAAAGGGAGGCUCCAUCUGUUAAAAUUGGAACGAUACAGAGAAGAUUAGCAUGGCCCCUGCGCAAGGAUGACACGCAAAAUCGAGAAGAUACCCAACUUUUU